rnacentral:miRNA from 1 species
AACCUCAUUGACCGGAAGGAAUCCCUUCCGGUCAAUGAGAUUGUCAUACCUCAUCGAUUGGAAGGGAUUGGAAGGAAUCCCUUCCGGUUGAUGAGGUUGUUAUACCUCAUCGACGGGAAGGAAUCUCUUCCAGUCGAUGAGAUU